UCCUCCUGAUGAAGUGGUGAUUGGUCCAAUCCCGAUUUCUCGACCAAUGACGUCUGGAGAUGAGCAUUAGCCCCGCCCACAACUCUCCACUGAUCAGCAGAUCAAGUGACCGUUAUAAAACGCAGACACAAGCAUCCAGGAAAUCUCCCCCAGGAAAACAGGCCGUCAGACAACGGGACCCAACAAGGAGCCAGGAGGCCCCGGAGCAACAGCUGGCAGGUAGGAAGAGAGGGAGGGAGAGAAGGAAGGAGAGAGGAAAAGAGGGGGCGGCGUACAGACGACAGGCUGAAGAAAGGUAAGAGGGAAGGACACAAACUGCAGGAUGGAAACGUUUUACCUUCACAUGUUGACUGCAUGUUCAGCUACUAAUAUUUCAUCUUUAAGAGACAGAUUGAAGAUUUUUAGACAUGUGAUAGUGUGACUGCUAAUACUGACUCCAUGAAAAGACAGAUAAGAGAUUAUCAAAGGUACAUUAAUGCAUAAAAUGAUCAUUUGACACACAUGAAACUCUGUCCUUUUUUUCUGCUGAGUCUCUCUCUCUCUCUCUCACACACACACACACACACACACACA